AUACCUCUUAAAAUCUACUAAUAAAAUUCAAUUUGUUCUUAUCAGUUUAAUCACUGAUACGUCCUUGAUGUGAGGACCAAUGCAUUAAACGCAUUUUUGGUGCUGGGAGAGGGCCUUGGGGCUUGCUCCAGCACCUCCAUGCAUUGACCCAGUAUUGCAGUGCCUCCGGGCCUGAUGCCUGCUCC
rfam:Alligator sinensis unplaced genomic scaffold scaffold544_1, whole genome shotgun sequence